CGACCCCAGGUCAGACGGGAACACCCGCUGAGUUUAAGCAUAUCAA
rnacentral:rRNA from 1 species